rnacentral:lncRNA from 1 species
AUCAAAGAACAGGAUGAGGACACAGAGCUGGAGGAGGUGGAAGCCACUCUGCCACAGAAAAGGUACUUUGACAGAGUGAAGCCAGUCAGCUGAUCCUGAGCAGCAGUUUGACAGUUCUGUGUUUCAGGAAGGUAACUUUCAUCCAAGCUGGCUGCUGUCUGGUUUUGGAGAACCAGUUCUGAUCUUCUUAUGCUUAGAUGGGAAGUCCUGCCGUGUUGAAGAUGAAGCAAACUGUGAAGAAGAAUUGGAGCAAUGCAACCAGAUGGAGUUGGGAUGCCUGAAUGCCUCAUAUAGCCACCAGGUGUCUUUUGUCGGUGGCUUACAAAAAUGAGAUUGAUUUAAAGAGCUUGCUAUAUUUUUUUUAUGUAAGCAACCAGACAUGAUCAUAAUACUUCCACAUGUGCAAGUUGAAAGACACAAAAUAUUUGCAACAUGUUACAUUCACAGUGGUUCUAUAGUAAGGUGAUCCGAAUUUCCACAAUUAAAGGGACUCGAGCACUACCACCUCAUACUCCCUGGAAUAAGGUGUAGUAGAUCCAUGUGUUCACUGUAGGACUGUAGGAUAGUAGACUCUGGCUUGUGUGGGUGUGAUUUAAUGACCUACAGUAGGGUGUGCAGAACGUUGUUUGUGAACAGUUCACAAUGCCUUGUAAUUGCCGGGAAACCAGGGGGAAUUUCACAGCUACUCGGACAGAGGUGCAUACUGCAUCGUUAGACCUGGCCUUAGUAUAACUAAUUGUACCUCUCUCAGGUCAGUCCCUGAUUGGUAGGGGUCUACCGGAACACAGAUUGGUAAGGCAACUGAGUUGGUCAAACCCUUUUAAAGGUUCUUGGGGAGGAGGAGGGUCUACCCUUGAGUCUACUGUAAAUGCAAUGAAAUGAUGUAAUAGUCACAGAAAAGCCCUCCAUUUCUUCAGGGUGAAAACAUUGAAAUAGAGACUAAGAGGUGUAUAGCAUGCUAAUUGAUGCGUGUUCAAAUAGUAUUCAUAAUGUGCUUAAAUUACAAAAAUACACCAAAACCUCUCCGUUUGAGCCGUGCCUUUUACGUUAUUCCAAAGCACUCAAUCUUACAAACCUACUGUUUGAAUAAGCCAUGAUGUUCCACUGACUGCCCACUGGUAUUAUCCGAUUGACUGAGGCAGGCUGGAAAGUGAUGCACAG